UCUCUACCUUCCCCCACGCCCCUAAACGGCCAAACCCACAACCCAGCCCUGACAGACCCCGACGCCACUCCGCCGCCCCACCGCGCCGCCCCGGACGCCGCGACUCCCACCACUCUACCACCCCAUCGCGCCGCCCUGCCGCGGGGCCGCCGUCCGCGACGCGCGUGCCGCGACUGCCGCCGCCCCACUGGGUCGUCUCGCCAUUGAUCCGUCGGCCCGACGCGCGCUGCGGCGCCUCCAUCCCGCCGCGCCGUCACGCCGCACCGACCACGAAUCACCCGGUGAGUCCCCCACGCCGCCGCUGUAGCGACGUCCGCGACGCUCCGUCAACGCCUCCGACGCCCAUCCGCUAACCACUCGGACAAGGUGGCACAAUGCCAAUAUUCUUACGAGGGGAUCCAAAAGCAAAUGUAAUCAAGGAAUAGACAGAAAUAGUUAUAUAUAUUUCAGAUUUUGGUGCUAUUGAAAUGUACAGCUAUACGAGAAAUAUAUUUCUAUAUGGAUUGAGUUAUUAUGAAUUAUGAAGUGCUGUGAAUCAGUCAUAUUUAUUGAUACAAUUCAGUGUA